AAGAACCUUAUCUCAGUGACAAAACUUUUUUCUCUGUAUUACUUUGUUUCUUAUUGCUUAAUAGCACAAUAAUGAUUGACAUUGAUUGCAUGGAAUGCGUAGGGGAGGAGUGUGUGUGUGUGUGUGUGUGUGUGUGUGUGUGUGUGUGUGUGUGUGUGUGUGUGUGUGUGUGUGUGUGUGUGUGUGUGUGUGUGUGUGUGUGUGUGUGUGUGUGUGUGUGCAUAUGAGCGUUUCCUGCAGGUAUGCGUCCUGGUAUUGACAACAGAAUGUUUAACAGCUGUCUCCUAAAUCAUUUUUACAAGAUCUCAGGGUGCAACAACUGAAAAUUUAGUUUGGGCAUUACUGGCUUUUCAGACGAACCAUUCCACCAGUUGUAGAGUGCACCGCUAAUUCACCUACAACAUGACAGUUACCAAUCAGAAAGGAUCCUCCAAGACACAUGAAGACUGCCAAGUGCAUCCUUUUGAACUGCUGCUCAUGCUACGACACAAAUCACUUGAACACCCACAGAGAAAAACAUUAAUUGCACUCCUCCGAAUACACGAAGUAACAGAUGCCCCUGACUGACCAGUGUCUGAAUUCCUGAUAUCUUCGCCCAUGAGGGCAAAUAUAGGAGAACAACUCUGAUGUUUAGUGCUGUUAAUUUUCACUUUGAAAUUUGAUUUGAAUUAUUAGCAUGAUUGUACACAUGUACAUUAUUGUCAAAGCACUACAGAAAUGACAGAAAACAUUACAUUAUAAUUACUUACAACAUUUACUGUACUGUCGAUUCAGAAACAUGCUGAUGAGAGAAUUGAAAUUAAGCAUUAAUACAAAAAUAAAAUGUGUUUAUUGAUAGAGACUCCACAGCACUUCUGGACAUUUAUCUAAAUAAGUCAUCUGGCAAAAUGGCAUAAUUGUGUGUGGCAUAAAGUGUGUGUGUGUGUGUGUGUGUGUGUGUGUGUGUGUGUGUGUGUGUGUGUGUGUGUGUGUGUGUGUGUGUGUGUGUGUGUGUGUGUGUGUGUGUGUGAUCCCAGGCUUUGAAUGUUCGCACAGCUCAGGUUACUGAAUGUAUAUAAUUUCCAGGUUCUUAGGUUUCCUUCCCAUAUUAGUUAAUGAAUGUGUGAAGUGUGUAUGGAGGUGUGUGUGUGUGUGUGUGUGUGUGUGUGUGUGUGUGUGUGUGUGUGUGUGUGUGUGUGUGUGUGUGAUGUUCUGCUAUUGACUGAAGUUCGAUUCAGGUUGUAUUCUCAGCUCAGGUUCAGUUUGUGUUCCCAAGAUAGACUCCAGAUCAACCACAACAAUGACAAGGAUUAUGUAAUUACAGGGGAUGAAUAAUUCAGUUUGGGGAUACAAGGAUAUUAAACACUGUGUUGUUGUCAAUUAUCAAUUAUUUAAAUUAUUUGGAAAAAAUCUCUUCAUUAAUGCUGAACUUCUCAUUAAUAGUGCUUCACCUUGAUUGUGUUCUCAGACCCAUAAACUAUUAAAAUAGCAUGAGGAUUUUUUUGAUAGAGACUACAAAGCACUUCUGUAAGUCGCUCGGAAUAAGGGCGUCUGCAAAAGUCAUCCAUUUACAUUUUAUCUUCACUGAUAUGAGGCUUUAUAAUAUUUUGAAUUAUUUAAUUUUAUAUCAUCUUAGGUUUGCCAUGCAGGCAUUACUACACUGAAUUUAAAGGAAUCAUUAUGAUAUAUUCAGUGGCUCUAUCCAGAUUUACACAUAAGCUUUUUAAUAGGUUAUUGUAAUUAAAACACCCCAAAGUUCUUCCGUGUGUUGUUUUCAAUUUUAAAAGCUUUACGAAGCUAGCGUUAUAUAACAGUUCAAUAACCUAAAUGAAACUGUGUGCAGACGAUGUUAUCUAACAUUCAGACUGCCUUCAUUUAGUGUUGAACAUGGUUAUCUUCUGUAUUAUUUGGCACAUACUUGCAGCUGUAGUUCUAAUCUGCUUCCUGAAUGUGUUUUCUUGUUCUGUUGUGUGCAAGGAGUUCAUCAAAAUAGUAAAUUGCUGUAGAUAUACUGAUCAACCAUAACAUUAAAACCACUCACUGGUGAAGAGAAUAACACUGAUUAUCUUGUCACAGUGGCACCUGUCAAAAGGUUGGGAUAUAUUAGGCAGCAAGUGAACAGUCAGUUCUCAAAGUUGAUGUGUUUGAAGCAGGAAAAAUGGGCAAGCUUAAGGAUCUGAACACCGAAUUGUGAUAUUGAGAUGACUGGGUCAAAGCUUCCCCAAAACAACAGGUCUUGUGUGGUGUUCUUAGGAUGUGGUGGUUACCAUAUACCAAAAGCGUUCCAACAAAGGACAACCGGUGAACCAGCAUCAUCAAACAUGGGUCAAGGUCACGAAAACCACUUCACUACGCGCACAUGAAGAGCGAAAAAUAGUCUGUCGGUCCGAGCCCACAUACGGGCUACUGUAGCACAAAUUGCAGAAAAACCUAAUGCUGGCUAUAACAGAAAAAUGUCAGAACAGAUGCAUCAGUGUGUGCUGUGUAGAUGCAGUGAUCCUGCUUACCACUGAAAUCACCUGCAAUGAGCACGUGACAAUGACGUGAACAUUGGACCAUGGAACAAUAUUAGGUAGGUGGUUUUAAUGUUAUGGCUGAUUAAUGUAUACUUCAUCAAUCACCAACACACCAGUUAUUCAUUGUUAUGUAAUGUUGCACUGAUGUACAAAAGAGUGAAAAAGAGUAGAGAGAAAGUGAGACUGGCAGGUCUGCAUUUCUAAUUGAAGCAGUCACGCAUAUUACUCUCACUACACUGGAGAUUGACUGAGCAUGUCACAUAAUAAUUGGCCUUAUUUCUUUAAUUCUGUCAUAUUUACCCAGAUUAAAUCCUUACAUUAAUAAUGUUUUCAUGACUAACUAAUGGCUUGCACUUUGCCAAGAAUCGUUUUCUUCCAAGUCUAAUCCAAAUUGGUCCAAUUAAUCAUGUGAAAGGUAAUUAGCGCAGUCAAAUGAGAUGAGAAGGCUUGUUGGUGCUCCGGGGAUUUGUCUUUUCUUUUCGCCGUCUCUCGAUAGAAGUAAAAAAAAAAUUAGUCAAGGAUGGUGGUAGCAGGAAGCCCAGGAAUCGGUGGCAUAAUACUAAUGACUGUGCUUCUUUGUGGCAAAGUAUGUGGGAAUGACAGCUAUACUGUACUUAUUCAAGCUGCUGGCACAUUAGUUGAGAUGUAGAGUCAAUGAGAACAGCAACACAAGAAUAAGAAUGAAUACAUGGGCAAGAUUGGUAAAAAUGAGAACAGACAUAUGGUAUCUGUAUAGAAUUCUGUGUAUGAUUGUGUGCAUACAUUUGAAAUCAUUUCUAAUCCCCGUUUUUGCUUUCAGUUGUCAUUAAGGUACUUUUUCAUUGAAAAAUGUUAACUACUAUAAUCACACAGCAUGGUGCAUUAGUGGAAAUGCACAAGAAGUCAGGGCUGUCUCAUCGAGGAUGUGAUGCAACCACAACAGCAUCUCUGGCAGAGGGACAGCGAGGUCAGAGGAAGUGUUUGAACCCUCCCCCUUCUCUGUACAGGUGGUAAGGGGUUGAAAUGUCACUAAGUGAAAAAGCAACUGUCAAAACACUUCAAAGUGUUCUGGUUAACUGCAUUUAUUUUAAGCAGCAUGGUGCAACACUGCGACAUGCAAGUUGGACAACUUGUACCUUUUCUAAACAUCUGAGGAAAUUUAUGAAAUACUAGAAGAAGAACUACACAUCGGCAACUGCUGGUGAAUUCAAGUGAAUCGAUUCCACAACUGUGGUUUUUACUUCAAAAGCAGAAUUACUGAAUUAUACUGAAGUAAAAAAUUCCACUGAAUUUCUAUGUUUAUUAUUGAAGGUCUUUUAUCUUUUUUUUUAUAUAUAUAUAAAUCUAUACAAAUUGUAAGGCUUAAAGACAGAUAAUAUUAAAAUAAUCAGGUUUAGAGCAUUCUUAGAUGCUGAGAAUGAAACACAGGAAGUUCUUGCAGAAUGCUGGAGAGCCAGAAAGGAAAUGAUCUCAUAUUGAAAAUUGCAAAUCUAUACUCAUGUCUGUUUGUGUUUUUGGUUCUAACAUACAUAAAUCAUUUAUUUAGACUGAACAACCACAGAGCCUGCCCAAGGAACACUGCACAAUGCACGAAUAUAUCCUGACUGCAAUAGUGGUCCAUCAGAGGGCACCAUACACACACAUACACACACAUUCUCUAGGGGACAAUAGAGGGUAGUCAGUCCACCACCCAUCAUGCUUUUGGAGGUGGAAAGAAACCAGAGAACUUUGGGGAAACCACAGGAACUAAUGAGACUUUUAGGGAUGUUGGUUCUUGAAAAAUGAAAUAUUGCAAUUCCGCAAGAAUAAGUAACUACCAAAUACUAUUGAAUAGACUGAGUCUCAUCAUGAAACAUGGUGAUGCCUAGAAGCUGCAACAUGGUUUCAAAUGAAACUUCUAACACAAUAGUAAUAGUACACCUUUGUCAAAUAACAAAAGCUUUCAGUAUGUUUUGAUUUAUAAGUAUAUCAUAUCAGUUUUUCAUUCAUCUGAAGCUGUGACUUCACUGCUACCCAUUGCACCAUCUUGUCACAUUGUAACAUACUCUUAUCAUUGACAGAUAAAGGCACAGUUAAAGAUACACAUCUAUUUAUGUAUUUGUCAAUCAUUGGGAAGAUAAGAAAGUCUGUAAUACAGGGUUUCUAUAAUUCCCCAGACUGACCAUUACAUUUGCCGUAGCAUUUGAUUCUGACUUCAGUGCUCCCAUAAACUCUGAGCAGCAUGUUCUAUCCUCAUUCACAGUGUGAGCUAUAAGCAAUGGAGGCAAUUUAGCCAGAACUCACAAGUAUUGAUCAAGACCCAGUGAAAUAAAUAGGCUGCCAGGCUCUUAUCACUCAAAGCUGACAAUAUAUGAGAAGCAGGUCCAGCUUUCAGCAGCUUGACUGCAUCUCACAGAGCUGGGUUUUGCCAUUAAAGUUAACUGUACAUCAUGCCCUACUUCUUGCAUCUCAAACCGGUGCAAAUGUACAGAUGUACCUGACAUCUGGAUAUGCUGAACUGCAAGGUUAAAUGAGCAAUUCAAAUUGAGUGAUGCUUUGCGAAGCAGUUAAACCGCACAAUUGUUAAC